rnacentral:rRNA from 1 species
AGGAGUGGCGAACGGGUGAGUAACACGUGGGUAACCUGCCCAUCAGAAGGGGAUAACACUUGGAAACAGGUGCUAAUACCGUAUAACAAUCGAAACCGCAUGGUUUCGUUUUGAAAGGCGCUUUACGGUGCCGCUGAUGGAUGGACCCGCGGUGCAUUAGCUAGUUGGUGAGGUAACGGCUCACCAAGGCCACGAUGCAUAGCCGACCUGAGAGGGUGAUCGGCCACAUUGGGACUGAGACACGGCCCAAACUCCUACGGGAGGCAGCAGUAGGGAAUCUUCGGCAAUGGACGAAAGUCUGACCGAGCAACGCCGCGUGAGUGAAGAAGGUUUUCGGAUCGUAAAACUCUGUUGUUAGAGAAGAACAAGGGUGAGAGUAACUGUUCACCCCUUGACGGUAUCUAACCAGAAAGCCACGGCUAACUACGUGCCAGCAGCCGCGGUAAUACGUAGGUGGCAAGCGUUGUCCGGAUUUAUUGGGCGUAAAGCGAGCGCAGGCGGUUUCUUAAGUCUGAUGUGAAAGCCCCCGGCUCAACCGGGGAGGGUCAUUGGAAACUGGGAGACUUGAGUGCAGAAGAGGAGAGUGGAAUUCCAUGUGUAGCGGUGAAAUGCGUAGAUAUAUGGAGGAACACCAGUGGCGAAGGCGGCUCUCUGGUCUGUAACUGACGCUGAGGCUCGAAAGCGUGGGGAGCAAACAGGAUUAGAUACCCUGGUAGUCCACGCCGUAAACGAUGAGUGCUAAGUGUUGGAGGGUUUCCGCCCUUCAGUGCUGCAGCUAACGCAUUAAGCACUCCGCCUGGGGAGUACGACCGCAAGGUUGAAACUCAAAGGAAUUGACGGGGGCCCGCACAAGCGGUGGAGCAUGUGGUUUAAUUCGAAGCAACGCGAAGAACCUUACCAGGUCUUGACAUCCUUUGACCACUCUAGAGAUAGAGCUUCCCCUUCGGGGGCAAAGUGACAGGUGGUGCAUGGUUGUCGUCAGCUCGUGUCGUGAGAUGUUGGGUUAAGUCCCGCAACGAGCGCAACCCUUAUUGUUAGUUGCCAUCAUUUAGUUGGGCACUCUAGCAAGACUGCCGGUGACAAACCGGAGGAAGGUGGGGAUGACGUCAAAUCAUCAUGCCCCUUAUGACCUGGGCUACACACGUGCUACAAUGGGAAGUACAACGAGUCGCAAAGUCGCGAGGCUAAGCUAAUCUCUUAAAGCUUCUCUCAGUUCGGAUUGUAGGCUGCAACUCGCCUACAUGAAGCCGGAAUCGCUAGUAAUCGCGGAUCAGCACGCCGCGGUGAAUACGUUCCCGGGCCUUGUACA